rnacentral:rRNA from 1 species
GACGAACGCUGGCGGCGCGCUUAACACAUGCGAGUCGAACGGAAAGGCCUGCUUUCCCUUGUGGAUUGCGGGUACUCGAGUGGCGAACGGGUGAGUAACACGUGAGUGAUCUGCCCCCAACUUGGGUAUAAGCCUGGGAAACUGGGUCUAAUUCCCGAUAGGACUGCAGGGUGGUGCCUGUGGUGGAAAACGAUUUUCUAGUGGUUGGGGAUGAGCUCGCGGCCUAUCCGCUUGUUGGUGGGGUAAUGGCCUACCAAGGCGGCGACGGGUAGCCGGCCUGAGAGGGUGGACGGCCACAUUGGGACUGAGAUACAGCCCAGACUCCUACGGGAGGCAGCAGUGGGGAAUAUUGCACAAUGGGCGGAAGCCUGAUGCAGCGACGCCGCGUGGGGGAUGACGGCCUUCGGGUUGUAAACUCCUUUCGACCGCGAGGAAGCCACCUGGUUGGAAGGGUGGUGACGGUAGUGGUAGAAGAAGCACCGGCUAACUACGUG